rnacentral:rRNA from 1 species
AUUGAACGCUGGCGGCAGGCCUAACACAUGCAAGUCGAGCGGAUGAAGGGAGCUUGCUCCUGGAUUCAGCGGCGGACGGGUGAGUAAUGCCUAGGAAUCUGCCUGGUAGUGGGGGAUAACGUCCGGAAACGGGCGCUAAUACCGCAUACGUCCUGAGGGAGAAAGUGGGGGAUCUUCGGACCUCACGCUAUCAGAUGAGCCUAGGUCGGAUUAGCUAGUUGGUGGGGUAAAGGCCUACCAAGGCGACGAUCCGUAACUGGUCUGAGAGGAUGAUCAGUCACACUGGAACGUAGACAAGGUCCAGAGUCCUACGGGAGGCAGCAGUGGGGAAUAUUGAACAAUGGGCGAAAGCCUGAUCCAGCCAUGCCGCGUGAGCGAGGAAGGUCUUCGGAUUGUAUAGCACUUUAAGUUGGGAGGAAGAGCAGUAAGCGAAUACCUUGCUGUUUUCAGGUUACCAACAGAAUAAGCACCGGCUAACUUCGUG